rnacentral:rRNA from 1 species
AGUGAACGCUGGCGGUAGGCCUAACACAUGCAAGUCGAACGAGUGGCGGACGGGUGAGGAAUACAUCGGAAUCUACUCUGUCGUGGGGGAUAACGUAGGGAAACUUACGCUAAUACCGCAUACGAUUGCAUGAGCCGAUGUCGGAUUAGCUAGUUGGCGGGGUAAAGGCCCACCAAGGCGACGAUCCGUAGCUGGUCUGAGAGGAUGAUCAGCCACAAGGGAACUGAGACACGGGCCAGACGCCGACGGGAGGCAGCAGUGGGGAAUAUUGGACAAGGGGCGCAAGCCUGAUCCAGCCAUACCGCGUGGGUGAAGAAGGCCUGCGGGUUGUAAAGCCCUUUUGUUGGGAGGCGUUACCAACAGAAUAAGCACCGGCUAACUUCGUGCCAGCCGCCGCGGUAAUUC